rnacentral:lncRNA from 1 species
CCCCAAAAUAGAGGUGCUCUGAUGCUAAAGACUGUUUUUCAUACAGAAGUCCCAUAUCCCCAGCUUUUAGCCUUGAAUUAAGAAACACUUGUAAAGAUGAUCGGUUUGAAGCAAAAUGAAAUCUAAGUAUUCAACCACUCAUUCUUCAGUUAUUUCCACUUGCAUUGAUUGAACUGAUUAAGAUUGCCCCCGUCAUUGCACGUAAGUGAAGGUAGUGCAGAGAUUUCCCAGCGUUUUCUUUUUUUCUUUUUAAUUGUAAUAAAUAUCACUUAUUCUUAUUACUAUAGUAUUACCAUUUUUCACAGUUUAUCAACCUGGAGGUCACCCUGACUGUUUAAAUCCAGAGUGUCAUCAAAUUAAUGAAUUCCAUGGUAAUUCACAAAAUGAUAGCGCAUCUCACUCCCAAAGAUGUCUUGUAUUUGAUGACAUAGGUAUUUUUAAUCCUCCAUCCGGAGAAAUGGGAUCUGAAAGGCCAGGACCCCCCAACUAAAGAAUUCUGAGGAAGAGAGGGCUGGGGCCAGAGAAGGGUUCCCUGCAGAGGCUUAGAGAAGUGCCACAGCAGUCUCAGGCCCCACAAUUCUGGGAAGGACUCUAUAAUCUUGUUCUGUGCUGAUCUAGCCUGGCCUGGGUUUGUUGCUUGCUAUGACCCUCAAAGCCUGAAUCACCCCAAAGCAGAUGAGCCAGCAUCCUUAAUGAGAUUUAUGGGGACUCCAGGGCACUUGAGGUGUGAGUCUCAGUCCACCUGUAGUGUGGACCUGGGCAGGUAGCUUGAUCUCUGCCAGCCUCAGUGGGCUGACCCGUAGCUUAGCUCUCAUUUAUAAGCGAGAAUAAGUAGUAGUUGAUUUUCCAUUCCUGAGUUGUUUCACUUAGAAUAAUGGCCUCCAGAUCCAUCCAAGUUCCUGAAAAUAUAUUAUUUUAUUCUCUUUUAUGGCUGAGUAAUAUUCCAUGGUGUAGAUAUACUACAUUUUCUUUAUCCACUCACUCAUUGAUCAGUGGGCACUGAGGUGGUUUUUGUAUCUUUGCCAUUGUGAAUUGUGCUGCCAUAAACAUACACGUGCAGGUGUCUUUUUGAUAUAAUGACUUAUUUUCCUUUGGAUAGAUACCCAGAAGUGGGAUUGCUGGAUCGAAUGGUAUAUUAACUUUUAGUUCUUUAAGAAAUCUCCAUAAUGUUUUCCAUAGAGGUUGUAAUAAUAUACAUUCUCACCUGCAGUGUAUAAGCCUUCCAUUUUCAUGACAUCCAUUCCAACAUCUGUUGUUUUUGACUUUUAAAUAAUAGCUAUUCUGGCUUGGGUUAAUCUUCACAUUGACCUGAAUCUAAUGAAUCUCUUGAUAUUUAUCUCAUUUUUAAAAACUGAGAUGUGAAUUUCUAGAAUCUAUAGUGUAGUCUUGGC